rnacentral:lncRNA from 1 species
AAGGUUGCAAAAUGGCGAGGGGGGAGGUAAGCUGUCUUUGCUUGGCCAUCUUGGGCUAGCAGGCCUUGCAGAGAACUACCUUUUUAGCUGAGUGAAGGGAUCAACCUGAGUUGGAGUUCUCCUAUGCUGUGGCCAGAUCCACUAGAAAUUAACCCAGAAUCUUAGCCUCUCAGUGGCCUAUCGAUAAGCCAGCUAAGACAUGUUUUAAAGUAGAAGAUUAUAAGACCUCCCCCAGGGUCCUGCAGUCAGUCAGUUAUACCCUGCCCUUCAACAUCAAGCUUUGAACCUCUACUCUAGAAAUACCUUUUAUUAUAUUCAAACUUGAAGCACGUGGACAUAGCAUGCUUUGGUGCCUUCGUCCUUGCCCCCCUCCUUCCUACACAGUUCUUUGCAAUGAGAAUAUGGGAAAUAAGGACUUAAUGUGAGAUAAGGCAGAAAGGUGAUGCCACACUCAAUCAGAAACUAUGCUACUGCUGAAGAGGUAUAUUGAGCCCUGCCUGGUUAACCUCCAGUGAGGUUAUUAGAGAAUUGGGAGAGGCUCAAAUCAGCAUCCUGCACCUAGUUAUCAAACCAUUGUGAAGUCUUGAUUCCUGGAUGGCCAGAAAACUUGUCAUUGGUCAAGAGCAACAUUAAGAUCUGCCUGUUACUCAUACUGAUGCUUCCUGCCCAGCAAGUUCAUCAGAGGGCGAGGAUGAAUUACGGUUGCCAUGAAUGUCCUUGUGAGGCAGUUGGGAAGCCUUGGCUGGAUUGUGAAGGAUAUUUGAAAAGUAUUUUAGAGUCCACCAGAUCAUCCAUGUGAGUGACCAUGCAGCAAAAGAAGGAGGGUCCUCUCAGUGAUUAAGGAUUAUGAAGUAUUAAUUCUUCCACUGAUAUCUCAAAAGGUGAUCUGGACAAAGGAACAGGUAUCUCAGCUAGACAGAAGGUACUGGAUAAAAAGAACCCUGAAGCAUGGGAUGAUUUUUUCCCAAUAUUCACUGUGAGAAUCUGUCAGUUUGAUCAGCCUGUAACUUGUUGUUAAGGUGAAGUGACAACCUCCAAGCUCCUUACAUGCCAAACAGAAGCUGGAAAUUACCCAUUCUCUUUUAUGACCACAUAGUACUCCACUGUAUAUAAUCAGCAACUGCUGUGAUGAGAUGCUGCCUUUAAUGCUGCUGCAUGUGGUCAAACCUCCACUCCCAGUCUACCCAGACCAGGACUUGGCUUCCAGGAUCCAGGGGUGUCUGUGUGAAAUGAUCAGCCUGGGCCCCCAAGCAGGUCACUCCCAGCACAGAGAUGUCAUUGAUUGUACCACCGUCAUCAGGCUGUCUUCCGCCCUCAGGGAAAAGUAGCAUGUCUUCCAGCACCAUAUGACAACUGCUCAGCACUUAUUUCUUGUCAUUGCUCCCUUCUGACUGCAGCUCCGUGGGAUCACAGGAGAUUAUGGUGGUGGUGGACUCCCAGGCAUUGCUAUUCUCCUGACACCAGAACACCAUCAUGGUCAUCUCUGAGGCAUCAGUAGUGUUUCUAUAUGCCAACAGUGAACAAUCUGAAAAAGAUAUUAAAAAGUAAUCUCAUUUACAAUAGCCACACAUAAAAUUAAAUACCUAGGAAUUAACCAAAGAAGUUAAAUAUCUCUAUAAUGAAAACUAUAAAACACUGAUGAAUGAAAUUGAUGAGAUCACCAAAAA